CAAAUAACUGCCACGAGGAUGAGAUGAGAUCUCAUACUGGACGGUGAGAGGCAGCUUGGUGCCGUGGGUCAGACUUGUGUCUGUUGGUGGCUCCGUUGUACCAUCCACACAGUCAACUACUAAAUAAAUGAAAACUAUUAUAAUUAAUUAUUUAAGAAAAAGCAAUUUGUCCAAGGCCUCAUGGUGCGUCGGCAGGGUUGGCAGGGUACUACGCAGGAGGAGAAUUUGCACUCGCUAUCCUCGCAGUGAUCCCUCCGAGCUUCCAAGUGGCUGUACAUGGGCAGAUGAUUCACGACUGGUGCUUUUUUGACAAGGCAGGGAGAACAGACAGGAGAUGGGCCCAUCUUGUUCUGACAGCUGGGCCACCCUGGGUGGCAGUGAUGAGUCAGCCUUGCUGCUGCCACACUCAGCACACAAGGCUUCCCAAACCCAGGCAGAGCAUCGUGGAUCGCAGACACGCUGACCAUGCAGUUGUGUGAUGGCAACAGAUGACUUGUCUCUUUGUGUCCCUUCCCCAAAAGUACUCAGUAACCUAACAGGCUUCUACCAGCCUCCAAAUAGAAGCAUCUUUUUUUCAAACCCUGAAGGGAUCAAGCAAGCCAGAGGGACAGCAUGCUAUCCCAGUGUCAUGGUGGAAGAACAAGGAACAGGACAUUCAAACAGUGGAUGACCAGGUCCCUACUUCCCAGGACUCGGCUUUCUUUGGAGGGAAGCUUAUCCAUGUUCCCCGAGGACCUACUACACACGUGAUUUCAGAGUGGACUGUUCAGUGUGGCUUGUCUGGGACUUAUAUUCUCAAUCUCAUCAUUGCCUUUCUGUGUCCAAAACCAAAGCAUCAGAGGUACAAGAAGGCAAAACUCCAUUUCCUCUGUGAGCACUGUUCCUGUUUGACUGAGGAAUCUGGCUAGAACAAGAAGAAAUAGGGCCAGAGUUGGGGCUAUGUAUGUAGAAAUUUUGGGUGGAUUUAAAGAAAUCAACGUCUUGGAUUUUGUCACAAGAAAAAUCACUUAGACACCCUACAGUUAUGGAUAAGAAACCAAAUGGAAUGCUUGAUUCAUUCUAUUAUGCUUUUAAGUAACUAUUACAAUGAAUGAUUCAUUAAUUACUAUGAAAGAGCAAGGUUUCAACAAAAACAAAUACGAAUAAAUUAAAUAAUUUCUAGCGAAACUUCAUUUGUUAUGGAAUAGCACCUAAUCUAACUUUUAUUUUGCUAAAUAAAAAAGAGUUUUGGUAUCUUAUUUCAGGUAUUGAAAUGCCUCGGGUCUUGCUCUGGACAAACACAUUGCCCUGGGACCGGCUGCUCACAGCAUUUUGGCUUUGACACGGCAGCUCUGACAUUAAAAAGCCCUUAACUAACCAUUUGCAACAUAUCAGAAAAAAGGUUAAUUUGCCUUUUACGCAUCCUUUACUCUGCUCUGUUGUAGAGGAGAAAAGACAGGACUCUGGUUCUCCUUUCAAAUCAGUUAUGCAUAGAAUAAAGGAAGAGCACAGACAGGCACGGUGGCUCACGCCUGUAAUCCCAGCACUUUGGGAGGCUGAGGCGGGUGGAUCACUUGAGGUCGGGAGUUCAAGACCAGCCUGACCAACAUGGAGAAACUCCGUCUCUACUAAAAAUACAAAAUUAGCCAGGCAUGGUGGCACAUGCCUGUAAUCCCAGCUACUCAGAAGGCUGAGGCAGGAGAAUCGCUUGAACCCAGGUGUCAGAGGUUGCGGUGAGCCAAGAUCGCGCCAUUGCACUCCAGCCUGGGCAACAAGAGCGAAACUCCGUUUCAAAAACAAAAAUAAAGGGAGAGCACUUGAUAGGAAGGCAGCAGACCUGCAUUGAAGUCCUAACCAGUAACAAGCUGUGCUACUCUCAGCAAGUCACUGUCCCACUCUGAGUCUCUAUUUCCUGAUCUGAAAAUAAGGACUUAGUGUAGGUGUCCUUCCCCGUGCCUUUGAUUUUCACAAUCACUCUCUGAAGCAUAUAGUUCAGGAGGUUUUAUUUGAAGCUGAAGAUACAGAAACCCACAGAUCAAGAGCCAGCAAACUACAGCCCAGGGGCCAAACCAGCCCACCUCCUGCUUUUGUACAGCCUGUGAGCUAAGAUGGUUUUCACAUUUUUAAAUGGUUAAAAUAAUUGGUUGGGCAUGGUGGCUCACGCCUGUAAUCCCAGCACUUUGGGAGGCCGAGGCGGAUGGAUCACUUGAGGUCAGGAGUUCGAGACCAGCCUGGCCAACAUGGUGAAACCCCAUCUCUACUAAAAAUACAAAAAUUAGCCGGCUGUGGUGGUGGGUGCCUGUAAUCCCAGCUACUCAGGGGGCUGAGGCAGGAGAAUCACUUGAACUUGGGAGGCGGAGGUUGCAGUGAGCCAAGAUCGUGUCAUUGCACUCCAGCCUGAGUGACAGAGAGAGACUCCAUCUCAAACCAAAAAGAAAAGAAAAGAAGAAAAAAAUCAAAAGAAGAAUGACAUGUUGUGACUGAUGGAAAUUAUAUGAAAUUAAAAUUUCAGUGCCCACAAAUAAACUUUCAUUGGAACACAGCCAUGCUUAUUUGUUUAUAUAUCAUCCAUGUCUGCUAUUGCAAAACAGCAGAGCUGAGUAGCCACCAUGGAGACCAUAUGGUCGGCCAAGCCUGAAAUAUUUACUCUCUGGCCCUCUACAGAGUUUGCUGGUCCUUGCUAGAGAUCAAGGUGUCCCAGACUUCAGUGUACAUACCAAUCACCUAAGGAUCUUAUUAAAGUGGAGAUUCUAACGUAGUGGGUUUGAGGUAGAGCUGAGAUUCUAUGUUUCUAACAAGCUCCUGGUUGGUACCAAAAGGGCUGGUCUGAGGACCACAUUUUGAGUGGCGA
rnacentral:lncRNA from 1 species